rnacentral:rRNA from 1 species
AGGGCGCACGGUGGAUGCCUUGGCACUAGAAGCCGAUGAAGGACGUUACUAACGACGAUAUGCUUUGGGGAGCUGUAAGUAAGCUUUGAUCCAGAGAUUUCCGAAUGGGGAAACCCAGCAUGAGUUAUGUCAUGUUAUCGAUAUGUGAAUACAUAGCAUAUCAGAAGGCACACCCGGAGAACUGAAACAUCUUAGUACCCGGAGGAAGAGAAAGAAAAUUCGAUUCCCUUAGUAGCGGCGAGCGAAACGGGAAGAGCCCAAACCAACAAGCUUGCUUGUUGGGGUUGUAGGACACUCUAUACGGAGUUACAAAGGACGACAUUAGACGAAUCAUCUGGAAAGAUGAAUCAAAGAAGGUAAUAAUCCUGUAGUCGAAAAUGUUGUCUCUCUUGAGUGGAUCCUGAGUACGACGGAGCACGUGAAAUUCCGUCGGAAUCUGGGAGGACCAUCUCCUAAGGCUAAAUACUCUCUAGUGACCGAUAGUGAACCAGUACCGUGAGGGAAAGGUGAAAAGCACCCCGGAAGGGGAGUGAAAUAGAACCUGAAACCGUGUGCUUACAAGUAGUCAGAGCCCGUUAAUGGGUGAUGGCGUGCCUUUUGUAGAAUGAACCGGCGAGUUACGAUUUGAUGCAAGGUUAAGCAGUAAAUGUGGAGCCGUAGCGAAAGCGAGUCUGAAUAGGGCGUUUAGUAUUUGGUCGUAGACCCGAAACCAGGUGAUCUACCCUUGGUCAGGUUGAAGUUCAGGUAACACUGAAUGGAGGACCGAACCGACUUACGUUGAAAAGUGAGCGGAUGAACUGAGGGUAGCGGAGAAAUUUCAAUCGAACCUGGAGAUAGCUGGUUCUCUCCGAAAUAGCUUUAGGGCUAGCCUCAAGUGAUGAUUAUUGGAGGUAGAGCACUGUUUGGACGAGGGGCCCCUCUCGGGUUACCGAAUUCAGACAAACUCCGAAUGCCAAUUAAUUUAACUUGGGAGUCAGAACAUGGGUGAUAAGGUCCGUGUUCGAAAGGGAAACAGCCCAGACCACCAGCUAAGGUCCCAAAAUAUAUGUUAAGUGGAAAAGGAUGUGGCGUUGCCCAGACAACUAGGAUGUUGGCUUAGAAGCAGCCAUCAUUUAAAGAGUGCGUAAUAGCUCACUAGUCGAGUGACACUGCGCCGAAAAUGUACCGGGGCUAAACAUAUUACCGAAGCUGUGGAUUGUCCUUUGGACAAUGGUAGGAGAGCGUUCUAAGGGCGUUGAAGCAUGAUCGUAAGGACAUGUGGAGCGCUUAGAAGUGAGAAUGCCGGUGUGAGUAGCGAAAGACGGGUGAGAAUCCCGUCCACCGAUUGACUAAGGUUUCCAGAGGAAGGCUCGUCCGCUCUGGGUUAGUCGGGUCCUAAGCUGAGGCCGACAGGCGUAGGCGAUGGAUAACAGGUUGAUAUUCCUGUACCACCUAUAAUCGUUUUAAUCGAUGGGGGGACGCAGUAGGAUAGGCGAAGCGUGCGAUUGGAUUGCACGUCUAAGCAGUAAGGCUGAGUAUUAGGCAAAUCCGGUACUCGUUAAGGCUGAGCUGUGAUGGGGAGAAGACAUUGUGUCUUCGAGUCGUUGAUUUCACACUGCCGAGAAAAGCCUCUAGAUAGAAAAUAGGUGCCCGUACCGCAAACCGACACAGGUAGUCAAGAUGAGAAUUCUAAGGUGAGCGAGCGAACUCUCGUUAAGGAACUCGGCAAAAUGACCCCGUAACUUCGGGAGAAGGGGUGCUCUUUAGGGUUAACGCCCAGAAGAGCCGCAGUGAAUAGGCCCAAGCGACUGUUUAUCAAAAACACAGGUCUCUGCUAAACCGUAAGGUGAUGUAUAGGGGCUGACGCCUGCCCGGUGCUGGAAGGUUAAGAGGAGUGGUUAGCUUCUGCGAAGCUACGAAUCGAAGCCCCAGUAAACGGCGGCCGUAACUAUAACGGUCCUAAGGUAGCGAAAUUCCUUGUCGGGUAAGUUCCGACCCGCACGAAAGGCGUAACGAUUUGGGCACUGUCUCAACGAGAGACUCGGUGAAAUCAUAGUACCUGUGAAGAUGCAGGUUACCCGCGACAGGACGGAAAGACCCCGUGGAGCUUUACUGUAGCCUGAUAUUGAAAUUCGGCACAGCUUGUACAGGAUAGGUAGGAGCCUUUGAAACGUGAGCGCUAGCUUACGUGGAGGCGCUGGUGGGAUACUACCCUAGCUGUGUUGGCUUUCUAACCCGCACCACUUAUCGUGGUGGGAGACAGUGUCAGGCGGGCAGUUUGACUGGGGCGGUCGCCUCCUAAAAGGUAACGGAGGCGCUCAAAGGUUCCCUCAGAAUGGUUGGAAAUCAUUCAUAGAGUGUAAAGGCAUAAGGGAGCUUGACUGCGAGACCUACAAGUCGAGCAGGGUCGAAAGACGGACUUAGUGAUCCGGUGGUUCCGCAUGGAAGGGCCAUCGCUCAACGGAUAAAAGCUACCCCGGGGAUAACAGGCUUAUCUCCCCCAAGAGUUCACAUCGACGGGGAGGUUUGGCACCUCGAUGUCGGCUCAUCGCAUCCUGGGGCUGUAGUCGGUCCCAAGGGUUGGGCUGUUCGCCCAUUAAAGCGGUACGCGAGCUGGGUUCAGAACGUCGUGAGACAGUUCGGUCCCUAUCCGUCGUGGGCGUAGGAAAUUUGAGAGGAGCUGUCCUUAGUACGAGAGGACCGGGAUGGACAUACCUCUGGUGUACCAGUUGUCGUGCCAACGGCAUAGCUGGGUAGCUAUGUGUGGACGGGAUAAGUGCUGAAAGCAUCUAAGCAUGAAGCCCCCCUCAAGAUGAGAUUUCCCAACUUCGGUUAU